AAAGUUUAAGUCUCUAGAAUUGACUUAGUAGUUUCUUGAGGUGAAAUCCUAGGAAACAUGGAAUGUUGAAAAUGAUUUAGACAACUUUUGUUUGAACCGUUUGAGCCUUUCAAGCCAACCUUGAUGAAAUUUUAUCUCUUGAAACCCAACUUCGAGACUAUAUGGCCUAAUUUUAUUUGAACCCUCACAAUAUUUAGCCAUCACUUCUCUUUUAAUUAUCU
rnacentral:lncRNA from 1 species